UUGGACCAGACAAUAUGAAGUCACAAAGACUCUCACAGACCAAGAUAUUUUCUAAAUGUUUUUCUUUCAAAUUAGUCAAAUGAUACUCUAUUGAAGCACAACUAAUCAAUUUAUAGUUAAAACGUGGGGCUCAUAUAACAGAUGAAAACUUUUGUAAACUUAUAAUUUUGAGCAACGGAGAACUUGAAAUCAACAAAGAAAUGAGGGAGCCAUUCUGCUAAAAGACCUACUUCUUCAGGAGAAAUAAUUACAUUUAACAAAGGACAAUGACUAAUGCUAUUACUAUGAAUAUCUUUCAAGAUUGACAACUAGAAAAUCAUGGCAGAUAGAUUUGUAAACAUUAUCGCUUUGCACUGUGGGAAGCUUGCAAUUUGAUGCCUGAAGCAGCAGAAGCAAAGGAAUACAAGAUGAUACAUUAUUUAUUCUGAUAUUCAGUGGUCAUUUCCAUUUUCGUCACAAGUAUUAAUUUAAUGAGGUCACAUUACUAUGCUGCCCACCAACUCUGACAUGAGGGAACUGGAAUAUGAAAUAUUUUUAUUCUAUUCUGCUUCGUGACACCUUCUUGGGAGAUGUGAAGAAGUGUCCAUUCAUGGCAAUCAGAAAGACAUGGAUACUGCAAUGAAAGGAUAUAGAAAAACUUCCAUGAAGAUCCCUAACUCAAACAUCUAUUGCUUACAAAUCUUACAGGCAAAGUAAGACCAACAGUUUAAGUUAUGUCUAUUAUCUUGUUUAAAGCUUAAUAAAUCUUAAAUCAACAUU
rnacentral:sRNA from 1 species